rnacentral:misc_RNA from 1 species
UGUGGGAGCGAGCCUGCUCGCGAAUACGGUCUGUCAGUGACAUUGAACUGUCUGAUACACCGCUAUCGCGAGCAGGCUCGCUCCCACA